ACAUGUCAUUAACGAGCAUUAAAAAAGUUAGGGAAAACUUCAAAAACCUCUCAUGUGGUUUCGUAAUUCCUCACUUUGCCCCCCUUGUGGUUUAAAAUGUAUCAAAUUGCUCCCCUGUGGUUUCGUUUUUAUCUUUUCGGUAGCUUUUUCAUUAAUAUUUCAUUAAAUUAUAUACCAAAAACUUUAGAUACCCAUCUAGAUUUAUCAAAUAUUCACUUUAGUACCCUUUAAUUUUAACUUUAUCACUUAUUUAAGACAAAAAAAUAAUGAAAUUGAUAAGAAAAAGGAAAAAAAGAAACCACAUGGGAACAAAUUAAUACAUUUUAAACCACAGGGGGACAAAGUGAGAAACUACAAAACCACAGGGGGGUUUUUGAAGUUUUUCCAAAAAGUUACCAAAAAACUUUGUUGCAUGCAAACCUC
rnacentral:lncRNA from 1 species